rnacentral:rRNA from 1 species
AUUGAACGCUGGCGGCAGGCCUAACACAUGCAAGUCGAACGAGUGGCGGACGGGUGAGUAAUGUCUGGGAAACUGCCUGAUGGAGGGGGAUAACUACUGGAAACGGUAGCUAAUACCGCAUACCAUCGGAUGUGCCCCGAUGGGAUUAGCUAGUGGGGGGGGUAAAGGUUCCCCUGGGCGACGAUCCCUAGCUGGUCUGAGAGGAUGCCCAGCCACACUGGAACUGAGACACGUUCCAGACUCCUACGGGAGGAAGCAGUGGGGAAGAUUGCACAAUGGGCGCAAGCCUGAUGCAGCCAUGCCGCGUGUGUGAAGAAGGCCUUCGGGUUGUAAAGUACUUUCAGCGGGGAGGCGUUACCCGCAGAAGAAGCACCGGCUAACUCCGUGCCAGCAGCCGCGGUAAUAC